GCCUCCGUAGUUCAAGGGAUAGAACAGCACCCUCACGAAGUGUGAAUGCGGGUUCGAAUCCCGCCGGAGGCGCCC
rnacentral:tRNA from 1 species